UUGAAUGCUUCUCAGCUCAAAGAUUCAUAUAAGUACAAAUCUAUCAAACCUUGCAUGUUUAGCUCAUCCCCAUUUAAAGACCAAAUUUUGUCAUCUUAAAAUACAGAGAAACUUUGUAGAUGAAAGGACCAUGACGAUGUGAAAGCAAGGUGCAAGUUAAUUUGGGUAAAGGUUCAAUAGCAUGUUGUGAGACAGGAUAGAGGAAUAUGUAGCCCCGUGUUGAAUUAUAAUGGUUAAUUAGUGUGCCACCUUACAUUCAAAAUGAUUUUCAGCCACAUAAUUUGGAUGGAUCUGUUUCUAUGUGAAUGUACUUCCUUGUUUAGAUAUUUUUGAGUAUUAUUUUUUUUUUUGCCUUACUAUGCCAUGUGACACAUUUCGCAUACAUUAUUUGGUAAGAUUUUCUCUUUUUUGUGUGUGUGUAAAUUGGGUACUGCUCAGGUAAAAGCAUGUGUGUUUGCUGAGAUAUCCUGAAAUGCAACAAUCCCAGAAUGAUGCAUUAACUCUCUCUUGCAUGUGUUUUUUUCUUGGGACCUGAGUACCUAGACAGGGGAAGUAUGGCCCAUGUUUUUUUGAAAAAAGAGUUCAUCAUGUUUCACAAGAAAGCCCUGGGUGAACAGUUCUGAUAGCUUCUUAGCUGGCAUAAUAGUCUAAUAGUCACUUCCCAGAAAACUAAGUUUCCUUUGGUUAACUAAUUCCUGUCUGGCAUGUUUGAGAUGAAUCCAUUGAAGUAAAUUUCAUGUUCUGAAAAAAAACAAAAACUAAUCAGUGAUUUUUUACUCCCUAUUUAAGCUCCUCCAGACUUGGUAUGAUUUGUGGUUUUGUUGUUUGUUUUUGUUUUUGCUUGAUAGGUUCUUAUUCAACCCUAGCAGAAGUUUGUCUGUGUAAAUCUUCAGAAUUUGGUUGAAAGUAAAACACAGACAGUGAAAAUCUCACUAAAUUAUUCUUUCAUAUUGGACCUUCAGGAUACAUUACUGCAGUGCCUGGAAAAUGUAGAAAGCUUUGAAAUGAUUGUCUUCUCUAAAAAGGUAAAUUCAGCGUUGACAAAAUGAGCAAAACCAUCACAAAUCUGAGGCAGCAUCUGCCCCAAGAAGACACACAUUUAUGAAUCCUGAACUGAAAUUAAUGUUAAUAAUGAUAUCAUCAAUAAGAAGAAAGCUUCUCCAGGAAGGGUAAUUGUAUUUGCAGAAAGAGCAUAUGGAUACAGUUUUACACAGAGGGUUUACUUCUCUAUUGAGAGCAACAUGUGGUAAGUAUUUAUUCCAAAUGUCAGGUACGACCUUUCUUUUCACAAUGGCACUCAAGCAUGGUGCUCAGAACAGAAACAAACUGAGUUUAUUUAGUAACUGAUGAGUUAUUCCACCCCAUCAGUAAUAAUAAGUUAACAUUAUUAUCAGUGAAUGAAAUAGAAUGGCCUUCCAUUUUUCAGUGCUUCAAAAUUUCCCAAUUCUAAUUAAUAAACUACUUUGAAAUAAUCUUUUUAUUUCAGAUGUAUUCCCUUUAUUUCAGAUAAUUGUCAGUGUUAAUCAUGUAAUAACUUAAAAAAAGAGGAAGAAGAAUAAAUAUCCCAACCUAAUGAUAUUUUUAAUAACUCCAGAAGAGCUGAAUUUUUGAUUUGUUGUUUUAUCAAAUAUUAUUUUCCCCUACAAAACAGUCCAGUAGUUGCUAAUCCAAGUCAUAUAAAAAAUAAAUAAAUCUUAAUUUCUAAGCACACAAUUAUUUUUUUUAGUAGACUCCAUUAUAAUAGGACAGGCUCUUCAAGUUGAAAAGAGGUCUCAACUAUCAUCAGAGCUGCUCAAAAUCAAACCCUCUAGUGUUAGCACUUCAAUAAACAGGCUUGUGAUUGAAUUUAUGUACUUAAUAUUUAAUAUAAAAUUAUUCUAGAUCAAAACGUGCCAAUGAGCUUUGACUCUGGGCCCAUAGUUAAAUCUUUCUGAAAGACAUAAUCAAUUUCGUGUAUUUGUUUUGUGCAACCUUUGUUUCGCUUGUCAGCCUAAGUAUUCGUUUCUUUUCAAAGUUAGCAAGACAACAUAUAGCAAUGUCUUUGAAAAUAUCACUGUGCUUACAAACUAGAUUUCACAUCAUUUCUGACGCUUGAUGUACUGACUCCAAAAGGCAAUAUUCAUGGGAAUGGUAAGCAGCGUUUACAACUUUGUAACAUUAGUCUCAAAAGUAUGCCUGAUUCAUGUUCACUUGAAAGAGGUUUCAGCUCUAGGGAAAAUUACAGAAUGUAUUGCUGUAUAGGACUCUACUAACAAUGCCAAUAUACAAAGACAUUUGCGUUUUUUAUAGAAGAUUACAGAAAUAUCACGUUUUCUAUACAGGAAGAUUAAAAAUUGUAUGUGAGACUUUUAUGGAGACCCGCAACAAGCCAUGAAGUCUUCAGAAAUAUUCAGUUAUGAUAAACUAUUUUAAUUAAACUUCUUUAUAUAAACUACACGGUACAUUUUAUAAGAAGAGAAAAGAAGAGCAGAUCUUUAAGGUGGUCUAAAAUGCAUGCUCCCUUCAUCAUCUUCUGCAAGCAUGAAAUUUUAUGCUAUGAUUUUUUUAAUGUAUUUAAUUGGUACUGAAAUUAUACUUGUGAUUGAUUUUUUUUUAACUAGCAAAAAUUCAAAUAGAAUAAUUGAACAUACCAAAAUAACACUUGUUUAAUUUUGAAGUAAAGAUUCUUAAAGUGGGAAUGCCAUAUUCUUUACAGUGACAUAAACUCCAGAAUGUAAUUCUGUUGGUUAUUUUGUGUAAGUUGACUUUUUGUUCUGAGUACUCUCAUUUUAUGUAUGUUGUGAGCUUCAGAUGAG